GCUCUGGUGGAUUAGUGGUUAGAGCGUCCGCCUCGGAUUCGGGAGGUCGUGGGUUCGAUGCCCGGUUGAGUA